rnacentral:rRNA from 1 species
GGAGGCUUUGAAGUGUGGACGCCAGUCUGCAUGGAGCCGACCUUGAAAUACCACCCUUUAAUGUUUGAUGUUCUAACGUGGAUCCGUAAUCCGGGUUGCGGACAGUGUCUGGUGGGUAGUUUGACUGGGGCGGUCUCCUCCUAAAGAGUAACGGAGGAGCACGAAGGUUGGCUAAUCCUGGUCGGACAUCAGGAGGUUAGUGCAAUGGCAUAAGCCAGCUUGACUGCGAGCGUGACGGCGCGAGCAGGUGCGAAAGCAGGUCAUAGUGAUCCGGUGGUUCUGAAUGGAAGGGCCAUCGCUCAACGGAUAAAAGGUACUCCGGGGAUAACAGGCUGAUACCGCCCAAGAGUUCAUAUCGACGGCGGUGUUUGGCACCUCGAUGUCGGCUCAUCACAUCCUGGGGCUGAAGUAGGUCCCAAGGGUAUGGCUGUUCGCCAUUUAAAGUGGUACGCGAGCUGGGUUUAGAACGUCGUGAGACAGUUCGGUCCCUAUCUGCCGUGGGCGCUGGAGAACUGAGGGGGGCUGCUCCUAGUACGAGAGGACCGGAGUGGACGCAUCACUGGUGUUCGGGUUGUCAUGCCAAUGGCACUGCCCGGUAGCUAAAUGCGGAAGAGAUAAGUGCUGAAAGCAUCUAAGCACGAAACUUGCCCCGA